rnacentral:rRNA from 1 species
GACAGAGGGUGCAAACGUUGUUCGGAAUUACUGGGCGUAAAGCGUGUGUAGGCGGUCUCAAAAGUCGGAUGUGAAAGCCCCGGGCUCAACCCGGGAAGUGCAUUCGAAACUGCGAGGCUAGAGUAUCGGAGAGGUUGGUGGAAUUCUCGGUGUAGAGGUGAAAUUCGUAGAUAUCGAGAGGAACACCGUAGUGCGAAGGCAGCAUCGUGGGACGUCACUGACGCUGAGACGACGAAGCGUGGGGAGCAAACAGG